GGAAGUUUGAGGCAAUAACAGGUCUGUGAUGCCCUUAGAUGUCCUGGGCCGCACGCGCGCUACCUGACAUAUGCAACAAGUUUUACUUUCCUGUCUCGGAAGAGUACGGGUAAUCUUGUAUAAUGUAUGUCGUGCUAGGGAUAGAUCUUUGGAAUUAUAGAUCUUGAACGAGGAAUUCCUAGUAAGCAUAAGUCAUCAGCUUGUGCUGAUUACGUCCCUGCCCUUUGUACACACCGCCCGUCGCUCCUACCGAUUUUGAGUGAUCCGGUGAACCUAAAGGACCGUGGCCGGGCUCGACCCGAUCGUGGAAAUAGAAGUAAACCKKAUCACUUAGAGGAAGGAGAAGUCGUAACAAGGUUUCCGUAGGUGAACCUGCAGAAGGAUCAA
rnacentral:rRNA from 1 species